CAGAGAGAGAAAGAGAAGUAGCGGCAGGAGAGAGAGAAAGAGAAGGAAAGAGAAGAAAGAACGCGGCGUUCCUGGUGGUUUCCGGCGACGCCCCGGUGAACGAAAGAGAAGGAGAGAGAAAGAGAGAGGCACAGAAGAAAGAAAAGGAGAGAGAAAGAGAGAGGGAAGGAGAAGUCGCCGCACGUUUCUUCCGCCGUCGGUGACCCAAACCACAACCCUCCGUCACGCAACUGCCGCCGUCAGGUCAGUGUACACCUUUUAUUUUUGGUUUUUGUUUUUUUUUUCAUUCGAAUCUGAGUUUUUUUUGCUUCGACCACCACAACCGCAGCCUCCGACCUCCGGCCUCCUUCCUUCCCUCCCCGUGGAUGGUUGUCGUUGCCGGCGCCGCGCCAAGGUUUGAGUCAUGCCAAUUUUUUUUUAAUUUUUUUUUGUUAAAUAAUAAACCCUUAUUUAUUUAAUAUAUUAUUUUUAAAUAUUUUGAAGGAUUUGUACAAUUAGAUUGUUUGAUUGUCAAAAAGAAGUGCAGAUCUAAAGGUGGUCAUCAUGGGAGGAGGAAAUAAAGGAGAAACGUCCAAGAGGAGAAAGUCUAAGGGGAAAUCUCCGGUUGUACGUGUUGACGAGGAUGAGUCAAUGGAGGAAGAGGAGGCACAUGAUUUGGGGGCCUCUCAAGAAAUCGUCAGAAAUGUACAAGGGCAACAGGAGCAACAGCACCAUCAGGAACAGGAGCUACAAGACCCGCAUCCUAAUGACUUGCUAGAGUUGGACCCUUCCACACUUUGGUGCGUAUGUAUUUGUAUAAUGAAAUAUCCUUAAAUUCGUAUUUACUUUGAUAAAGUGAAUUUGUAUUACUUUAACCAUGUUUUGUUCACUUUUUGUUGAUUAUCUACUUACAUGAAUGUCUAUCCUUUAUUAUAGGUUUGAUAAAAGGCCGGUGAAGAAUGUACUCUCCGACUCGCUAACCGGCUACUAUGUUCAGCCUUGGAGGAAUUAUGGAGAGGUUGAUGAAGAUUCGAGAGAGCACUUUUGGAACUUGUUCAACAAAAAAUUCAAGUGGGCACCUGAGUUAAACAACCAAGUGAAGGACACUUUCGAAGAAAAGUUUGCAAAUCGCCUACGUGACACGUUCUACAACAUCACACACAGGC